UGGGGAAUAUUGGACAAUGGGGGAAACCCUGAUCCAGCGAUGCCGCGUGUGUGAAGAAGGCCUGCGGGUUGUAAAGCACUUUAGUUGGGGAGGAAGUUUGUUGGGUGAAUAGCCUGAUGAAUUGACGUUACCCAAAGAAUAAGCAACGGCAAACUCUGUGCCAGCAGCCGCGGUAAUACAGAGGUUGCAAGCGUUAAUCGGAAUUACUGGGCGUAAAGGGUGCGUAGGCGGUUUAUUAAGUGAGAUGUGAAAUACCAGGGCUUAACCUUGGGAAGUCAUCUUAGACUGAUAAACUAGAGUGAAGGAGAGGGUAGUGGAAUUUCCGGCGUAGCGGUGAAAUGCGUAGAUUUCGGAAAGAACACCGGUGGCGAAGGCGGCUACCUGGCCUUUAACUGACGCUGAGGCACGAAAGCGUGGGGAGCGAACAGG
rnacentral:rRNA from 1 species